rnacentral:rRNA from 1 species
UACGGAGGGGGCUAGCGUUGUUCGGAAUUACUGGGCGUAAAGCGCACGUAGGCGGCUUUGCAAGUCAGAGGUGAAAGCCCGGGGCUCAACCCCGGAAUUGCCUUUGAGACUGCAUCGCUAGAAUUGUGGAGAGGUAAGUGGAAUUCCGAGUGUAGAGGUGAAAUUCGUAGAUAUUGGGAAGAACACCAGUGGCGAAGGCGGCUCACUGGCCCGUAACUGACGCUGAGGUGCGAAAGCGUGGGGAGCAAACAGG